rnacentral:rRNA from 1 species
AUACGUAGGGGGCAAGCGUUAUCCGGAUUUACUGGGUGUAAAGGGAGCGCAGACGGCGAUGCAAGUCUGAAGUGAAAUGCCGCAGCUCAACUGCGGAAUUGCUUUGGAAACUGUGUGGCCAGAGUAUCGGAGGGGUAAGCGGAAUUCCUAGUGUAGCGGUGAAAUGCGUAGAUAUUAGGAAGAACACCGGUGGCGAAGGCGGCUUACUGGACGAUAACUGACGUUGAGGCUCGAAAGCGUGGGGAGCAAACAGGAUUAGAUACCCUGGUAGUCCGUGCCGUAAACGAUGAAUACUAGGUGUAGGGGGUAUCGACUCCCUCUGUGCCGCAGUUAACACAUUAAGUAUUCCACCUGGGGAGUACGGCCGCAAGGUUGAAACUCAAAUGAAUUGACGGGG